GCCGGAAUGGUUCAAGGUUUCCAAACCAUCUUGACCUCCCCCAGCUAGGACUCCAAGCAAAACCAAAUCAUCAACCAACUGAUUCCAUAGUUGAUUCACCAGGAUCAGCACGUCAUUAUAUGAAGUUUGNUGUUAAUUCUUGAAUCUUAGCUUCAAGAUCAUGUAAUUCAUGCUUCUGAAUGUCUAAUUGCUGAACAAGCUUUUGAUUCUGCUCCUGGAGAACUGCCACAUCAACAGUUUUGUUGGUGGGAGGAGAAGUGGAGUUGCGAGCCAUGGAAGGGGAGAGCAGGGAAGUCAAGUGAGGCCUCUUCUUGUCUGGUUCAUCAGAAUCUGCGUUUUCCAUUUAUUUAUUGAAUUUUCUUUUUUUUUUAUUUAAUCUAAUAUCAAGCCUUUCAAUUAAAACACGGCCAUCAGAAGGCGCUGAAACGAGAAAGAGAGCGCUCUGCGGCGUGCUGACGGAUCAAAAUGAAACCCUAGAAGCGAC
rnacentral:misc_RNA from 1 species